rnacentral:rRNA from 1 species
AUUGAACGCUGGCGGCAUGCUUUACACAUGCAAGUCGAACGGUAACAGGCCUUCGGGUGCUGACGAGUGGCGAACGGGUGAGUAAUGCAUCGGAACGUACCCAGAGGUGGGGGAUAACGCAGCGAAAGCUGUGCUAAUACCGCAUGUGAUCUGAGGAUGAAAGCGGGGGACCGAGCAGCAAUGUUUGGCCUCGCGCCUUUGGAGCGGCCGAUGUCGGAUUAGCUAGUUGGUGGGGUAAAGGCCUACCAAGGCGACGAUCCGUAGCUGGUCUGAGAGGACGACCAGCCACACUGGGACUGAGACACGGCCCAGACUCCUACGGGAGGCAGCAAUGGGGAAUUUUGGACAAUGGGCGCAAGCCUGAUCCAGCAAUGCCGCGUGCGGGAAGAAGGCCUUUGGGUUGUAAACCGCUUUUGGCAGGAACGAAACGGUGUCCGCUAAUACCGGGCGCUAAUGACGGUACCUGCAGAAUAAGCACCGGCUAACUACGUG